AAUCAACGCUGGCGGCGUGCCUCAGACAUGCAAGUCGAACGAUUAAAGCUCUCUUCGGAGAGUGCAUAAAGUGGCGCACGGGUGAGUAACACGUAAGUAACCUACCUUCGAGUGGGGAAUAACGUCCGGAAACGGACGCUAAUACCGCAUAACGCAGCGGCAUCGCAAGAUGACAGUUGUUAAAGAUUUAUCGCUUGAAGAGGAGCUUGCGGCAGAUUAGCUUGUUGGUAAGGUAACGGCUUACCAAGGCUACGAUCUGUAUCCGGUCUAAGAGGACGGUCGGACACACUGACACUGAAUAACGGGUCAGACUCCUACGGGAGCAGCAGUCGGGAAUUUUGGGCAAUGGGGGAAACCCUGACCCAGCAACGCCGCGUGAAGGAUGAAGUAUUUCGGUAAUGUAAACUUCGAAAAGAAUAGGAAGAAUUAAUGACGGUACUAUUUAUAAGGUCCGGCUAACUACGUGCCAGCCCGCCGCCGUAAG
rnacentral:rRNA from 1 species